rnacentral:rRNA from 1 species
AUUGAACGCUGGCGGCAGGCCUAACACAUGCAAGUCGAACGAGUGGCGGACGGGUGAGUAAUGUCUGGGAAACUGCCUGCUGGAGGGGGAUAACUACUGGAAACGGUAGCUACUACCGCCUACCAUCGGAUGUGCCCAGAUGGGAUUAGCUAGUAGGUGGGGUAACGGCUCACCUAGGCGACGAUCCCUAGCUGGUCUGAGAGGAUGACCACGCAAACUGGAACUGGGACACGUUCCAGACUCCUAGGGGAGGCAGCAGUGGGGAAUAUUGCACAAUGGGCGCAAGCCUGAUACAGCCAUGCCGCGUGUAUGAAGAAGGCCUUCGGGUUGUAAAGUACUUUCAGCGGGGAGGCGUUACCCGCAGAAGAAGCAACGGCUAACUCCGUGCCAGCAGCCGCGGUAAUAC